rnacentral:tRNA from 3 species
GGGCCUGUAGCUCAAUUGAUUAGAGCAGUGCGCUCAUAACGCAUUGGUUGGGGGUUUGAGUCCCCCCGGGCCCACCA